CGACUAUGAUAUCGUGCUACUAAGAUUUGGCAUGCACACUAUUUAAACCAUAACCAGGGAGGAGGUAAAUAUAUUUACGGAAGAAAGAAGAAAUACACAAGAUGGAAGAAGAUUUUACCCUUUUCAACGCUAUUCUUAUAAACACCUUAAGCAGGAACCAUGUGACAAUGUUCACAAAAGCUGUCCAAAACACCCUAGACAAGAAAGUACGAAUUAAAAUGAGCUUAGGUGACAGACUGACCAUCAUUUGACCGAAAAAAUAAUAAAAACAAAAAGCCCACAAGAAGGAGAGAAAAAAGAAAUUGAAAAAAUACAUUGAUAAAUAUAAGAGAC
rnacentral:lncRNA from 1 species